GUAGGUGGCAAGCGUUGUCCGGAAUUAUUGGGCGUAAAGCGCGCGCAGGCGGGUUCUUUAAGUCUGAUGUGAAAGCCCACGGGCUCAACCGUGGAGGGUCAUUGGAAACUGGAGAACUUGAGUACAGAAGAGGAAAGCGGAAUUCCACGUGUAGCGGUGAAAUGCGUAGAGAUGUGGAGGAACACCAGUGGCGAAGGCGGCUUUCUGGUCUGUAACUGACGCUGAGGCGCGAAAGCGUGGGGAGCAAACAGGAUUAGAUACCCUGGUAGUCCACGCCGUAAACGAUGAGUGCUAAGUGUUAGGGGGUUUCCGCCCCUUAGUGCUACAGCUAACGCAUUAAGCACUCCGCCUGGGGAGUACGACCGCAAGGUUG
rnacentral:rRNA from 1 species